rnacentral:tRNA from 1 species
GGCCCUGUAGCUCAGCCUGGUAGAGCAGCGGACUGAAAAUCCGCGUGUCGCUGGUUCAAAUCCGGCCGGGGCCAC